rnacentral:rRNA from 1 species
GACGAACGCUGGCGGCGUGCUUAACACAUGCAAGUCGAACGAUGAAGCAAAGACUCGAAGCUUCGGCAGAAAUUCAUUUCGGAUUAGUGGCCGACGGGUGAGUAACGCGUGAGCAACCUACCUCUUACAAAGGGAUAGCCUCGGGAAACCGGGAUUAAUACCAUCUAACAUUGCGACGAAGCAUUUCGAUGCAAUCAAAGCUACGGCGGUAAGAGAUGGGCUCGCGUCCCAUUAACCGGAUGGUGAGGUAACGGCUCACCAUAGUGACGAUGGGUAACCGGCCUGAGAGGGUGAACGGUCACACUGGAACUGAGACACGGUCCAGACUCCUACGGGAGGCAGCAGUGGGGAAUAUUGCACAAUGGAGGGAACUCUGAUGCAGCGACGCCGCGUGAGUGAUGAAGGAAUUCGUUUCGUAAAACUCUGUUCUAUGGGAAGAAAAGGACUGUACCAUAGGAGAAAGCUCCGGCUAAAUACGUG